rnacentral:rRNA from 1 species
GAUGAACGCUGACAGAAUGCUUAACACAUGCAAGUCUACUUGAAUUUGGGUUUUUUAACUUCGAUUUGGGUGGCGGACGGGUGAGUAACGCGUAAAGAACUUGCCUCACAGCUAGGGACAACAUUUGGAAACGAAUGCUAAUACCUGAUAUUAUGAUUAUAAGGCAUCUUAGAAUUAUGAAAGCUAUAUGCGCUGUGAGAGAGCUUUGCGUCCCAUUAGCUAGUUGGAGAGGUAACGGCUCACCAAGGCGAUGAUGGGUAGCCGGCCUGAGAGGGUGAACGGCCACAAGGGGACGGAGACACGGCCCUUACGCCUACGGGAGGAAGCAGUGGGGAAUAUUGGACAAUGGACCAAGAGUCUGAUCCAGCAAUUCUGUGUGCACGAUGACGUUUUUCGGAAUGUAAAGUGCUUUCAGUUGGGAAGAAAAAAAUGACGGUACCAACAGAAGAAGUGACGGCUAAAUACGUG